rnacentral:tmRNA from 1 species
GGGGGCGUCCCGGUUUCGACUGAACAUUCGAGGCGCCGGCUGCAUGUGGGGGUUGAACGGCUGGCCCCCUUAUCAAGCCGCUCAAAACAUUAAAUGCCUAUUCCAAGAACGAAUACGCAAUGGCUGCUUAAUUAGCGCCUAGACCUGAAUCCGGACGCCUACUACGGAGGAUGGUCCAGCUUUAGUAGGCAGGUGCUCUGCGGGGGAACCGCGCAGGGUAUGACAUCCACAGGUUCCUGGCUUUGGUGGAAGGCUGACGCAGAGCGGACCACCGGCGAGAGCAGCUAAUCUGCGUCUGAACAUGGAGAUGCUUGCGUCAACAGUGUCCAGGACAGGGGUUCGACUCCCCUCGCCUCCA